GGACUCUGCAAGGCAGGGAGGGCAGCAGCUCCCUCCGAGGUCUGCCUGUAUGAGGCCUGUCUGUGCUCAGCCCAGGACUUGCCUCAGAGAAAGAACUGGAGGAAAGCUGUGGCCCACAGGACACAGGCAUACUUGCUUUUUACCAGAUGACUGGCUCCCAGCUGAUGGGCCCAGAACAGCUUACUGCAGAAGGCCAUUGCUGAUGAAGGAACCCAGCGCCACAUCCAGAUGCCCUGCCCGCUCUUCCUGUGCUGCGGCAUGCCCAGGUCAGGAUGCACAGCUCCUGUGUCUCAGAGAAAUGCACUAAGUGCCUUUCCUAAUGGUUCAUGGACUCUCCCCAGAGCAUAGUAGGUUUAGUGCUGCUGACGUAGUCUCUGGAUCUUCUCCCUCCACUCUGUCGUCUGCCAGCAUUCCCUUUGUGGACACCCAUUACCAUUCCAAGCUUGGUGGGAGAAUGCUUAGGCUGGGAGGUGAGAAAGCUGCUUCCCCAAGAUGCAUGCCAGAGCUCUAAGUUGGGUUUUUUUUCCUCUAUGUCCUGGAAGAAUAUGCCUCACAAUGUUAGCAGCAGUUACCUUGGAGUGGUUUUGGUAGUGGGGUGUGUGUGUGUGUGUGUGUGUGUGUGUGUGUGUGUGUGUGUUUUCCUAGGGUUUCUAGAUGUUCCAGAUGUAAUGUUAGUUUUCUGAUAUCUGAUAAUUUUUAAGGUUAACAAAACCAAAUAAAUUACAAGAUUUGGUUAAAGCAGAGGAACCAGACCACGCCAGAUGAGAAUGAGAGGAGCAGCGCCAGAAUGGGAGACCUGGGUCUCAGAAUCUGUUCCUGCCCUGGCAUGGACUUACUGUGUGACCUUAGGCAAGUCCUUUCCCCUUUCUGACCCUCUGAUUCUCAUCUGUGAAACAAGAAAGCCAAUGAGAUGAGCUCUGUGGUCUUUCCCAGUGCUGACAUUCUUUGAUCUACUCAACCUGUGGAGACACUCUAGAUCUCUUUUGGCCCUGUUACUUUGCAGAUGGUUAAGAAAUAUGCCCACUAGCUCUUUCCUGCCUUCCAGGGCUGAGUGAUGCCACAUACCACACACUGAGUCCCUAAGACCAGAACACUGCAAGGAAUUUGAUAAGGGUAAACCAUUAAAUUCCACAGGGCAGUGGUCCUGAAACUUCAGUAGGCAUCAAAACACCCAGCUUUAGUACUCUGUUCUUCCCCAAGCCCAUCCCCAGGGAGGGACAAUAUUGCUCCAUCACAGGCCUACUGGACACAGACUGUGUGGAUACUCCCAGAGCAGGAAGGUGUGGAGUUGGACUCUCUUGGACCAAGGAUGAAGUUGACGUUGCCUGGAAGAAGAAAGGGGACCUUCUUGAUUGGCAGAGACCUCAAUAUUUUGUGCAUCCUGUUAAAUUUGGCUGGGGAGAAAUUCUGAGCUAGGCAUAGUGGGAAAGUUUAAGGAAAAUUGCAGAACCAGAGGAACAUGGCCUCUUGAUAUAAAAGGGAAGCUGGGUUGCAGGCCCCAGGUGUCCCAGCCAGAAAAAAAAAAAGAUGUCUUGCCAAGCAGAGUGCCAAGCAGUAACCUACUGCCUUCAAGAAACCAUGCAGGCUUGGACAAUGGGCAUGUCCACUGUGACUGGGAUACCAGAGCACCUUCCCCAAGUGUUUCAGAACUAGUAAGGCAGGCCUGGAAAGCUUUGUUUGCUUCUGAGAGGAGGUGGAGAGAGGAAGAGCUCCAGGGAUGACUGAGAUGUUCUCAUCCCCUGGAGGAAUGAGGGCUCAGAGAGACAUUUAGUUUAAUUUUAUAAAAAUAAAGUAACGUAGCAUUUCUAGCACCAGAGCAUUGUGGUGAAGUAAAAUCCCUACUUUCUACACACAGAUCUUCAGAUGAUCUGAGGCAGGCUGGCAGCAUGGUAUCCAGUCAUCUCCUUGCACAAGAUCCUUCACCAGGGUUUUGGUCCCCGUCACUGAACAUCCCCUACCACCCUCAGCCAGGUGUGCAGGUCCCACUCUCCUAAAGGAGUGGUAUACCACUAAGGACUGAAUUGUGUCCUGCCAAAAUUCGUAGAUGGAAGCCUAAACCCCAGUGUAACAGGACUUGGAAAUGAGGCCUUCAGGAGGUAGUUAAGGUUAAAUGAGGCCUUAAGGUUGAGGCCCUAAUCUGAUAGGAUUGGUUAUCUUAGAAGAGGAAGAGAGAUCUCUCUUCCAUGCAGUCUGUGGUAUUUUGUUUGGGCAGUACACAAGCUGCAAUGCUUGACCCUCUAUAUCAGAAUUACCCAGAGUACUUGUAAAAAAUGUAGAAUCUUGGAAUCAACUUCAAACUUUCCAAAAAAGCAAAAAGGAAAAAAAACAAUAAGAUCUUAGGAAUGGGACUCCGGAAUAUGCAUUUUAGGAUCACCCCAGGCAAUUUCUGAAGUUUGACAGGCACUCAUUUCUAGGUCUCCCUUUCUCCCCUCCCCACCCUGCAGACCCCAAGGAGUCCAGACACAACUCUGCCCCUUCCAGGAAAGUUCCAGCCCACCCUGGUCCCCUCCAGGAAGAUCCCUGGAUGGAUGUUCUGCUCUGAGUGCCAGGAAGUGCACCUAGGGAGAGCAGAGACGUUUGCUGUGUGCAGUCAUCUCUGACAGUGACAGGGGUUGUGGGCAGGUGCACACUUCCAUGCCACCACAGUGGUUUCUCAAAAGACACCUUUCCCACAUAGCUGCCAUCUCCCUUCCAGCACUCUGUCCUUUAUUGGCCACAGUCACAGACAGAUUGUUCUGGACUUACAGGUGUCAAGUGCAUGAGCCUUCCUAGCCAAACUGUGAGCUCUUUGAGGGGGAGGCCAUCUGACUGCCCUCUCCCGGAAUGCCAGCUCCACAUAUAACCUCUAUUACUGAGAAACACAGUCCCAGCCGGUUCACUGCCCUAGCCUUAUGGCCAGCACCUGCCUUCAUCUCUCAAGUGGUUGAUUCAUGAGUCAGGAGAGUACCAUCUCUGGCCUGGGGGAACAGGCACCUCAGGGCUCCCCUCAGAAAACUCUCCUCCAAGAGAACAGACUCCUAACCAGUCCCCCCACCCAGUUUUUCAUCUUAUUUUACUUAUCAAAGUAAUAUCUUCCACUGUAGAAAACCUGGAAAGUACAGGAAAUUAACUGCAUUAUUAAAAGUACAUUUUAAACUCUCCUCUGCCAAUUUCAGCUUCAUUUGUUCAUUCAUUCAAUCAUUCAUCCAGCAAAUAUUUGAACUAACAGUUCUCUACCCAAAUAAGCAUUAGAGAGGGA
rnacentral:lncRNA from 10 species